CUCUAAAUUUUCCAGCUUAUCAAAAUGGGAGCAAAUUUUGUCCGAAACUUAUUUUUUCCAACCAAACUAUCUUAUCGAACCAAAUUGCUUCCUACUUGGUUCAAGACAAACAUAUCCAAUCUAACCUUUUCAAAUUUUAUCUAUUGCCAAUGUCAGAUCACAUCACUUUUCUCUUUUCUCUUUUCUCUUUUCUCUCACUUCUCACUUCUCGUUUUUCACUUCUCUCUUCUCUCACUUCUCUUUUCUUUUUCUCUUUCUAUUCUUAUUUCUUUUCUCUAUUUCUAUUUCAAAAAUCAUCUUCUUCUCAAUGUUUUUUUCCAUUUGCUUUUCAGAGUUAGUUCUUCAACAAUCUUCUUUGACAAUCUUUUUCUCACUGUAUUGGGUUCUUUUUCUUUACCCUUGAUUUUUGUUUUAAUCUUCUUCGUCAAGAUGGUUAGUGCUUAUGAAGGUUAGCAUCAGAUAUGAAGCAUUCAACUUUGCAAUUACUUUUUGGUUUUCCACUUGAUUGAUGGGUUUAUCAGAUAUGAAGCAUUCAUGACAGACAUUCAAUUUGCAGGCUUGGGUAAACUGAGGUUCAGUGUAAAUGGCUUGCUAGGCAGACUGAAUGAUGCAGAAGAUCUGCUCAUCAAAAGAUGGAUCUUAUUGCAAGAAUCAAGCACCCUUAUAUUGUAGAAUUCAAAGAGGCUUGGGUUAAGAAAGUGAGUGACCCUCUUAAUUCUCUAUUGAUAGCUAAAAAUUUCAUUUUGUUUGUUCUAAACCGAUAUCGAGUGAACUAUGAUCAUGGUUUUGAAUCGUGAUCUAAAGGUAUACACUUGUAUGAAACAAAAUAUAUGGAUGAAGUAUACCUUCAUUCAAAUUACUUUUGGACGAAGUAACUCUGCAAAUAGUUCACUCAAUUACUUUUCGCGGUAGUAUAUUUGGCUUGCAUUUCUUGUCAUCAAUUCGUAGUAUAUUUGAUCUGAUUUGUUGACUCUGUUGACAAUGUUCCAACAUCUUCAAUUUGUCGUCAAAUUCUCUAUGUAAGAAGAUUGCAGGAGGAUGAAGUUGGCACUUAAGCAAGCAAAGGGAUGCUCCCUUAUACUUGGAGUGGGCUCCUUCCAAUGUUGUUAGCCCAAAAUCAAUAUCUAAAGAUAACGAGAUGAAUAGUAGAAUUGCUGAAAAGGAUGUCAAGCGACAAAUACUUGAGCAAGAUGUUGAAAGAAUAUCAAAUGUAAAAAUCAAUCCAGAUAAAGUGAUAUUGUUUGUUGUGAUAAGUGAAGAAAAAGUAAGGUCAAAUGAUAAAUAUAAAUAUAAAUAUAAAUAUAAAUAUAAAUAUAAAUAUAAAAUUAAAAUUAAAAUUUAUUAUUAUUA